rnacentral:rRNA from 1 species
AAGGCAUUAUAAGCGAACUGCGAAUGGCUCAUUAUAUAAGUUAUCGUUUAUUUGAUAGUACCUUACUACUUGGAUAACCGUGGUAAUUCUAGAGCUAAUACAUGCUAAAAAUCCCGACUUCGGAAGGGAUGUAUUUAUUAGAUUAAAAACCAAUGCCCUCUGGGCUCCUUGGUGAUUCAUGAUAACUCUUCGAAUCGCACGGCCUUGCGCCGGCGAUGGUUCAUUCAAAUUUCUUCCCUAUCAACUUUCGAUGUUUGGGUAUUGGCCAAACAUGGUUGCAACGGGUAACGGAGGGUUAGGGCUCGACCCCGGAGAAGGAGCCUGAGAAACGGCUACUACAUCCAAGGAAGGCAGCAGGCGCGCAAAUUACCCAAUCCCGAUUCGGGGAGGUAGUGACAAUAAAUACUGAUACAGGGCUCUUUUGGGUCUUGUAAUUGGAAUGAGUACAAUUUAAAUCUCUUAACGAGGAACAAUUGGAGGGCAAGUCUGGUGCCAGCAGCCGCGGUAAUUCCAGCUCCAAUAGCGUAUAUUAAAGUUGUUGUGGUUAAAAAGCUCGUAGUUGAACCUUGGGCCUGGCUGGCCGGUCCGCCUCACCGCGUGCACUGGUCCGGCCGGGCCUUUCCCUCUGUGGAACCCCAUGCCCUUCACUGGGCGUGGCGGGGAAACAGGACGUUUACUUUGAAAAAAUUAGAGUGCUCCAGGCAGGCCUAUGCUCGAAUACAUUAGCAUGGAAUAAUGAAAUAGGACGCGUGGUUCUAUUUUGUUGGUUUCUAGGACCGCCGUAAUGAUUAAUAGGGACAGUCGGGGGCAUCAGUAUUCAAUUGUCAGAGGUGAAAUUCUUGGAUUUAUUGAAGACUAACUACUGCGAAAGCAUUUGCCAAGGAUGUUUUCAUUAAUCAGGAACGAAAGUUAGGGGAUCGAAGACGAUCAGAUACCGU